rnacentral:rRNA from 1 species
GACGAACGCUGGCGGCGUGCUUAACACAUGCAAGUCGAACGGAAAGGCCCUGCUUUUGUGGGGUGCUCGAGUGGCGAACGGGUGAGUAACACGUGAGUAACCUGCCCUUGACUUUGGGAUAACUUCAGGAAACUGGGGCUAAUACCGGAUAGGAGCUCCUGCUGCAUGGUGGGGGUUGGAAAGUUUCGGCGGAUGGGGAUGGCCUCGCGGCUUAUCAGCUUGUUGGUGGGGUAGUGGCUUACCAAGGCUUUGACGGGUAGCCGGCCUGAGAGGGUGACCGGCCACAUUGGGACUGAGAUACGGCCCAGACUCCUACGGGCGGCAGCAGUGGGGGAUAUUGCACAAUGGGCGGAAGCCUGAUGCAGCAACGCCGCGUGCGGGAUGACGGCCUUCGGGUUGUAAACCGCUUUCGCCUGUGACGAAGCGUGAGUGACGGUAAUGGGUAAAGAAGCACCGGCUAACUACGUG